GUGACCAGGUGAGAUGAUAAAAGGCCCGCGCGUGCAGAGGCCGGCAGGUGAGUGACGCAUGCGCACUGGACACGCAGCGCGGCUGCUGCUGACGUCCUGACGCUCUGUCAGCCAGAGGAGCAUCUGCUUCCGGGAGGCUCCACCCGGGAGCCCGGGACCACCACAGAGCCCCUUUGCUUCUGGAGGAAAGAGCCAGACGUCUCAAAGGGGCCUCAGGGAUUCAAGGACAUUGAGUAGCAGCAGAAUAAACCACGAAAGCAGAAGCUCACUGGGAAUGCAGAUAUCUCCAUGGAUGCCAGAGAGCAGAAGUGAUGAGGACAACCUAGCAAAAUGAUGGCAACCUGGAUUCUUCUGGCCAUUUUCACCACCGGCCCAACAGAAGGCCUCCUAAAUUGGAUCUGGUCCUUCCAAUUUCUUUAAUUAAAAAUUAAGUCUAAUGUGAUCAAUAUGCCGAUUCAAAGAAUUAUCACAGCAUCAAUAUAAAUAUAAAAAAUAAGAAAUGGAGAAACAGCCCAAAUGUCCAUUCAUAGGAUAAAUUAUGCAAAUUAAGCAA